rnacentral:rRNA from 1 species
AACGCUAGCUACAGGCUUAACACAUGCAAGUCGAGGGGCAGCAGGAGCAAAGCUUGCUUUGCUUGCUGGGCGACCGGCGGCACGGGUGCGUAACGCGUAUCGAACCUGCCCUAUACUCGGGGAUAGCCUUGCGAAGUAAGAUUAAUACCCGAUGUUGUUAUUACAUCGCAUGAUGUUUUAACCAAAGAUUCAUCGGUAUAGGAUGGCGAUGCGUGACAUUAGGUAGUAGGUGAGGUAACGGCUCACCUAGCCUACGAUGUCUAGGGGUUCUGAGAGGAAGGUCCCCCACACUGGAACUGAGACACGGUCCAGACUCCUACGGGAGGCAGCAGUGAGGAGUAUUGGUCAAUGGACGCAAGUCUGAACCAGCCAUGCCGCGUGCAGGAUGACGGCUCUACGAGUUGUAAACUGCUUUUGUAUGAGGGUAAACUUAGAUACGUGUAUCUAACUGAAAGUAUCAUACGAAUAAGGAUCGGCUAACUCCGUG